rnacentral:lncRNA from 1 species
ACGGACCAGGGAGGGGUCCGCGCCGAGACCCGCCUCCGAACCAGGCCCCACCUCCUGAGCCAGGCCCCCGCCCCCGAUUCUGACUCCGCCCUCUCUGUCCUUCGGUGGAGACUCCGGGAAAAACCUGCCUCCCAGUCUGCCCUCUCUCCGUCUGUCUGUGCUUGUUUUUCUACGUUUAUCCCUGUCGCUUUCCCCACUUAUUCUGCAGGCAUGGCGCGCCCCCAGUGCCGGCUUGGUGCCAGGGCUGGGAGAUCCGGGGGUGAAUCGUGAGCCCGGCCCACAGCGAGCUUGCAGUCUAGAGAUCAAGGCAGUCUUGUCCACAACCUGCUGUCACAUAAAGCAAAUGUAGCUGGUGUAGCACCAGGGGCUGCAAUCAAGUGCGGUGGGGCGGCAAUAGUGACCACGGAAAUAAUCAGAAUUGCUUUUAAUUCAGCUCCUACUAUAUUCCCGCAUCCCUGAGCCUCACAAUCAUCCUCCAAGGUAGGUAUUUUUGUCUUUCUCUAACAGAUGAAAACUCUGAGUUUCAGAAGAAUUAAAUGACAUCCCCCCAAAAGAGAGACAGUAUAAGAAUCCAAGUCAACCUGAGUCCAAAACCAGUGGCCCUUAACACUGUGUGGCUUUAUGGAGGACAUGGAGUUUAAGUUUACCUUCAAGGAUGAGCAACACUUUUCUUCAAGCAGAAAAAGAAGGGAAUGGGUGAACACGGUCCCAGGUAAGGCACCAGAAUCCAGUUUCAGUGAAGCCUAAGGUAUAUGAGAAAUAAGUGAGAAUCUGGGGACAAACAAGAGUGCACUGAAGGCAGGCUAAGGAGUUAGAUUUUUAAUAAUGUAGAUGAGACACCAACAGAGGUGUUUAAGUAAGAGAAUGAUUUCGUUCCUGUUUUAGGAUGUUCGCUUUGGCAGAUGAUUAGAAUACGUGCUGACUUGAUAGCCACAACUGUCCUGAUAAGAAAGUACGCCGGCCUGGCUGGGCAUGGUGGCUCACGCCUGUAAUCCGAGGAUUUUGGGAGGCCCAGGCGGGCGGAUCACUUGAUGUCAGGAGUUCGAGACCAGCCUGUCCAACAUGGUGAAACCCCGUCUGUACUAAAAAUACAAUAAUUAGCCGAGCAUGAUGGCAUGUGCCUGUAAUCCCAGCUACUCGGGAGGCUGAGGCACGAGAAUCGCUUGAACCUGGAAGGCAGAGGUUGCAGUUACUUUCCCGACAUUGCACCACUGCACUCCAGCCUUGGCGACAAGAGCGAAAUUUUGUCUCAAAAAAGAAAGAAAGAAAGCACUCAGGCCUGACCCAGGACCACAGCAGUGGACAUGGAGGGAGGAGGCUGGGGGUAGUUGGAUUGGUAUGAUAUGUCACUGAGUAAACGAAGGAAGGGACAGAAAGAGAACUCCAAAGUGUCAAAAGCCUGGACAACAGAGAGAAAGCAUCCUUGUCCUAUCAUUUAAAGCACCUGUUGGGCCAAAUAGGGAGCACCUUUCAGAAUCCAUGUGCACAAGAUCUCAGCAAUUCUACGUCCAAGAAUGUAACCUACAUCCAAGAAUGUACUGGAAUUUAAUUCCACAUCCAAGAAUCCCCAUAGGUAGCAAAGAUGUAUAUUUAAGGGUAUUCUCUCAGCUUUGUUUUUAUGUUAGGAGAUUGGGAACAACCUAAAUGCCCAUCAGCUGGUGACUGGCUAGGUUAACUAUUCACAAAUGGAAUACUAGGUAGCCUCCUAAAAGAGGAAAGCAAUUCUACAUAUCCUGAUACAGUGUGGUCACCAGAUAGAUGGCUAAGAUACAAAUAAAACAAACAAGUUGCA